UGCUGGGAAACGCAAAGCAUCCGGAC
rnacentral:piRNA from 1 species